GCGGGCGGCUCAACGUAUUGAUUUUACUGGCUUUGCCAGUGGCAACUAUGAUUUAGGUUCCAGCGGCGCAAGCUGUAAGAGUUCGAGUCUCUUCGUCCGCACCA
rnacentral:tRNA from 1 species